UUCAGCUUCUCGUGAACUGUCAAAUAUCAUAUAGGCCUCACACAGUUGAAAAUAGUGAAAAAAGUAAUCUGUUGACAGGUAUUUUUGUUCAGCUCUGCAAGUAAUACUUGAAACUGAGUACAGAAUGCAUGUGGCCAUUUGGCUCUAUCAUUUCCCCUAACAUUUUAAGGCCACUUGGAAAAAUGGCUAAUUUGGGCUGAAAUGUCAUGUAUUUUCGCGGGCUGAAAUUAUCUUUCAGGUGGCUUGUGGAUUUAAAAAUCUAUGCUUUGUAUGAAGUUUACUAUGUAUUUUGUUUCUUCUUCAAGUAAGAUGUAAACAGGUUUCUUUUUAUUUUCAGGUCUGCAUCUCGUAAGAUAUCGGAAGCCGUCUGACUUGGCCACAUCGCUCGGAAGUCCGAGGUACUAGAAAAAACCGGCAUCUGCUACCUAAUAAUAGAGCAUCUCCUUUUUGAAGAGUAUUCAGUUCCUACAAUAAACCUACUUUGACCGCAAUUUUCAGGAAACAAGCUCGUUAAAGAAGUGCCCUUGUAAAAAUAUCUGCAAAGUUCUGGUGAAUGUCUAGUAUAUAGUUUAUUAUAACAUUCAAGGUGUUUGACGGAUUGGCAAAAGCAACUGAACAGUAAAUUAAUAUGCCAACAAAUUAAUAUUGUAUUUUUAGCUUAAAAGCCCGCAGCCAGGAUUCGAACUCCUACCGACCAUAGAUAGAAAUAUAGAUUCCUUAUUAACAUCAUCUCCGACUUGAAAUACAUAGUUCUAAGAAAGUUGUCUUUGAUAGCAAAACAAAGGCAAACUAUUUCGAAAAGGUUCAUUCUCAGCUGUAAUGUUUAAACUUACAUUAUAUAUCAUCUGACUAAAUAGCGUUACAUCUUAAGCGAUUAUAAAGCCCUGAGUGAUACAAUCUACCAGUUACUUUCAAAGGUGAAAUAAAAAUGGCACAUUCAAAAUAUUCAACCGGGAGUAAAGUUACUAAUAUGGUCAAUGAAACUGUAGAAGAACAAAGUGUAGCCGUGGAAAGCACACAUGACGGUAACAUGGCAGCCCGCCAGCAGAAGGAGCUUAAGGAACUUCACCAGGAUGACAAACGACCGAGUAAAUACAAAAUGCGUUAUUACAAUCCUAUGUACCCGCAAGCCCAUACUAAACAAAAGAUAAAAAAGUCAUAUGGCAAAAACUUCUCAUAACAAAACUUGCUUUCAAAUUGAUUUUAUUUGUAUUCUUUAUGUUGGUUUAGAUCAAAUUUAUUACUCUGUACUAUGCUACCUUUUAAAGAACAAAAAUAUUGCAACUCAUGAGAUUGCCUUAACAUACUGUUAAACGGACAGACAAUUAUAUUGUAGCGAGGGAAAUUUUCUAGAAGUUUCUAUUUUAAGUUUACAAUUUCUAUUUCUAUUGACCACUUGACAUUCUGUCUGUCAUGAUAAAACAUGUAUAUCACUUGAUACAUUUACAGCUACAUCUUUUCACUGAAUUUUUGGAGUUCUUCCUAAUGUUUCAAAACUGACUACAACACUCCUUGUUAACAACAGAACUACCAUUUUCAGAGGUAUACGCUAAAUCGCUGUGUCGCAUCUUCCGAGCUAGUACAUGUCGCGACAAAGGUGAGUGUCAUCAUAGUUUUUGCAUUUUUACAAUACAGUACUCGAAUAUCAAAAAUCGGGGAAUGGUAGGCGAUGUAGAUAUGAUGUAACUUUACAGAGAACUUAAAGUUUGCUAAUUUAUUCUUAAUUGGUGGUCGUGGCGAUAUUUACCAGCAAGCUGACUUAGCAGUGAAUUUGGCCGUUCCGUCAUGAAAACACUUUCAUUGUGAAAUAUAUGCUAUUUAAUUGAUAUUAGGAAGCAAACCGAGUAGGCGUAAAAUAGCUGUAAAGUAUACAAUGCAUUUGGAACUAAAUAAUGUACCAAAAAUGGUUUGGGAGUAAAAAUAGUCAUUUUUUUAUUGUGGGAGACGGUUCUGUCGUGAAGGUGAUAGCUCUGUGCUGCAUUAACAGUUUUGAGCAGUUUUGCAUGUUACAAGAGAGUAGUUAUGUCCAGUUACGAGAUACAAUUCAGUUAUCACGUUUUUGUAUUUAUACAGCAUUUGUAUAAUACAUAUUGCUUAAUAUUUUCUUAUAUUUAUUUUGCUUGUUUUGUAUUUAGUGCCGUUUUAACCAGAACUGUAUUUCUUAGAAUCGGCAUGUGCUAUUUUCUCUAUAACUCAGUUACAGAAAAUGCAAUUCGUGAAAUUAUCUUGUGAAAAGCAAUGGUUAACUGUACUUUUUAAGACGCCAACCUUAAGGCCAGAUGCUCUAAAACUUGUUUACACUACGUAUUACACUUGUAAAAUCAAAUCUUAAUAUAAUUAUGGCAUAAUUACUUUUCGUUGAGGACACGGCCAGUUUGUUUGAACGUACCGGUUAACAAGAGGGCCAUGAUUGCCCUAUAUCGCUUACCUGAGUACCAUUGCUCUUAAUGAUAAGAUCAAGUUUUGGCAUAGAUAAAUAGUUUCUUGUAACAGUCCCUUUUGACCUAUGGGUCACAUACUAGUCAUAUCCAAUUGCCAUACCAAGUUUGAGGGUCCUUGGCUUAAAUAGUGCAUUUUUGUACUAGCAUGACUAUUCCUUACCCUGGGAGACUUAAAUGACAUUUAAAGCCAAUCUCAUUUGAUGCUGCUGAGGUAUAUUUAUUUACAUAAAAUAAAGUGAGAUAAUUUGUCAUUAAUUCAGCCAAAAGUUAUCUACCCUUAUUGUCCGAGUCCAUCUGAUGGCAUAAAUGACAUUUCAAAUCAGUAUCUUUAUUGGUUACUGAGAUACACCCAUUUUAGUUUGAAACAAAGGGAGGAAAUUUGAUAUAAAAUCAUUCCAUAGUUGUCUACCCUGAUUGGCUCAGUCUAACUAAUAACAAUAACGAAAUUUCAAAUGAGUCCUAUAAAUACUUACUGAGAUAAAUCCAUUUUAAUAAACACAAGGGAGGUAAUCAUGCAUCAGUUUAUGCAUGCAGAAGAUACAGAGUACAGGCCGUUACAACAAUAUAUUAGAAAAGCAAAUAUUGGACAAUUAAGGGGCCAUAAGUCAGGAACCCACGAUGGGAUCUGGCCAGUUUUCAAAAGGAACCGAGAUAUUGUACCAGUACAAGUUGUGUGCAAGUUUGAUUAAAGUUGAUUGCAAAAUAUUAUCCCUAUCAUGUUCACAAGCAAAAUAUAGCAAAUUUUGGCCCUUUAAGGGGCUGUAACUCAGGACCCAUGAUAGGAUUAGGCCAGUUCUCGAAAGGAACCGAGACAUUAUGCCAUUACAAAUUGUGUGCAAGUUUUAUUAAAGUUGAUUGCAAAAUGAGGUCUCUAUCAUGUUCACAAGCCAAAGAUGGCAAAUAAUGACCAUUUAAGGGGCCACAACUCUGGAAUCCAAGAUGGGAUUAGGCCAGUUUUUGAAAAGAACUGAGGUAUUAUACAAAUACAACUUGUUUGCGAGUUUUAUUAAAGUUUAUUGCAAAAUGUUGUCUCUAUUAUGUUCACAAGCUGAAAACAGCAAAUUUUGGCCCUUCAAGGGGCUAUAACUCUGAAACCCAUGAUAGGAUAAGGCCAGUUCUCGAAAGGAACCGAGACAUUACGCCAUUACAAGUUGUGUACAAGUUUCAUUAAAGCUGAUUGCAAAAUGAGGUCUCUAUCAUGUUCACAAGCCAAAGAUGGCAAAUUUUGACCCUUUAAGGGGCCACAACUCUGGAACCAAAGAUGAAAUCUGGCCAGUUUUCGAAAGAAACCGGGAUAUCGUGCCUAUACAAGUUUUGUGCAAGUUUGAUUAAAAUCAAAUACAAAAAUGUGGUCUCUAUCGUGUUCACAAGGAAAUUGUGGACGGACGGACGGACGACGCACGAAGGGUGAUCACAAAACCUCACCCUGUCACUACGUGACAGGCGAGCUAAUAAAGUGUACUUUGUACAAAUAUCAGAGUCGUUGUGACUUCAUCAUUGUACUAGCACGUUCAUAUGCACUUGUGAAUACAAAAUCUGAAGUUUUAAACAGUCAUGCUGAUUUACUAGCUAAAUAAAAUUUAUAGGACAGAAGCAAAUCCUCAUGCAUUUCGUGUGUCGACAACAUACGCAUUAAAUUAGCAAUCUCGAUUACAUAUACAACAACUGACACAAUGACUAGAGUGAUCGAAUUCUAAAUUUACGGACUUUCUGUAUAAUUGGAAUUCUAUUUUCAUUUCUAUCAAUCUAUCUUUUAUCUGAACCAAUUAGAUGCAUUUGAUUGAAGUCAUUUAAGUUCGUUAGCAUGAAAUUUCUCGCAAACGGCAAAAAGACAGUUACGCGCGGGCUUUAAUUCGCGCUUUUUCAAUUUGAAAAAGCUUUCUUUACCAUAAAUCACCAGCAUCGCAUGUGUCACUAUUAUGUACCGCCUGUCAAUAAAAGCGGACCGUUUAUGACCUUGUUAAAAAUUCAAUAUAACAGCGCAACUGUAAUUAGGGACCUAGUUUUUGACUCCAGAAAACCCGCUUUCGAAAGUGACCUAGAUUUUAUCAAGAAAACCAUGCUGAACAAGUUUUAUGAAGAUCAAUUGAAUCAUACAGCCUCUGUGGCAUACACAAGAUCAAUGUUGACAGACAGACAGCGACAGACGACGGGCGCCGAUUAUCGAACUAUCACAAAAGUCACCUGGGAAAAAGUUAACAGAAUGUGCAACUAAUCAAAAUUUACAAUUAUAGCCUUAUGGAAAAUCUUUAUCAAAACAAUAAUUGGCAGCUGCAUACAAAUGUAUAUCCAAUUGAACAGUGAUUGCAUAUUAUUUCAAAAGAGGAUAGCCUAACGUAAAUGUCGUAAAUCUUUUUAAUAUAAUAUUAAAAUUAUGAACACAGAGCUGUCUUAUGAAAACAGAGCUAUCUUCUUGGCGACAUGACUAUCUCCUUCACGACAGAGCUGUCUCUUAUUGAUCGAGGCCGAUGAGGCCGCGAUCAUUUUGAAUAGGACAAGUAUAUGCGUGCUGGGGAAAAUAUUUCAUGAUGGACCUGUGAAUUCUUUACUUGUGGGUGAAACAGGUCUCAUAAGCGUAAAUACGACUAGCUUCUACUGAUUAUAAAACAUACCGUACGAUUUGUUGUGAAUUAACUGUUGUUGUACUUAUAGUAGUUCAACCGCCACCCUUGUUUAAGAGCAACAUUUAAAAACACGUUUUUUUUUUCAUCCUCAAGUAAUAAGUAAGUAGACUCGCCCAGUUUAAUCAAUCUAGACGCAUACAUAGAGCGCUUACUUCACCCGAUUUACAUUCGGAACAUUUUCACGCGU